UGUCCAAUGGGUGAAUGACAGUGGGAAUCUAGUCUCCAUUCUCUCUUAGGUUCAGUGUCCCGAUGUGUGUCCACAUUAGGAAGAGGAAGAAAUGUUCUUGUGUAAUACCUUCAAAUAGAUGUUUUCGGUAAUUCCCAUAAAGGUAGAGAUAUGAGAUUGUUAAAUUAUAAUGGAGACAGAAGAAACAGAAAAGAAAGCAAGAAGAUGAUCUCAGCUCUCAUGGGGAAAAGCAGGUCAACUAUGGUGGCCCUAAAUGAGUGGUUCUCAACCAGGGGAAGAUUUCAGCCCCCCCGGGGGACAUUUGGCAAUGUUGGCAGACAUUACUAAUUGUCAUAACUGAGGGGUUGCCACUGGCAUCUGACAGUGUUGACCUUCUUCCUAAUGUUGACCUGCCAUUCACAGCUGCGAAGUCGUGUUCAGCACAGCACAGUUUAAGAAGAUGCUAUUAUACCAUCAAAAGAUGAGAAAACUGAGAGCCAGUGUCCAUCAAUGUCAACAUACUGAAUAAGUGUCCAUGCCAGAAUUUGACCCAAGUUGGUCUCCAUCUAAAAUCUAAGCUUUUGUGUUCAAGUCCCUUGAGGGAAAAAAAAAAAAUAAUGGCACAAGGAUUUUGCAGUAAAGAACUCAAUUACAUAAUGCAUUCACUGAAGUUCUAAGGGAAAUUCAGAAAAUGGUUGAUUAAAUGGGAUCAAG